rnacentral:rRNA from 1 species
CCUACGGGAGGCUGCAGUAGGGAAUCUUCCGCAAUGGACGAAAGUCUGACGGAGCAACGCCGCGUGAGUGAUGAAGGUUUUCGGAUUGUAAAACUCUGUUGUUAGGGAAGAACAAGUACAAGAGUAACUGCUUGUACCUUGACGGUACCUAACCAGAAAGCCCCGGCUAACUACGUGCCAGCAGCCGCGGUAAUACGUAGGGGGCGAGCGUUGUCCGGAAUUAUUGGGCGUAAAGCGCGCGCAGGCGGUCCUUUAAGUCUGAUGUGAAAGCCCACGGCUUAACCGUGGAGGGUCAUUGGAAACUGGAGGACUUGAGUACAGAAGAGGAGAGUGGAAUUCCACGUGUAGCGGUGAAAUGCGUAGAGAUGUGGAGGAACACCAGUGGCGAAGGCGACUCUCUGGUCUGUAACUGACGCUGAGGCGCGAAAGCGUGGGGAGCG